CUGAACCCGAUUAAGGCAAUACUGCAACGAGGGAAAAUUCUUCUGUGGCACUGGGAGUCCAAACAUGCUUGUGUUGAAAUCGUUAUGUCACUAUUUUAUAGCAAAACGCCGAUCAAAGCAGCACAUGAAAGAACAUGUCCAUGCAAUACGUAGAUUGUUUACAUAUCUUCGUUUGAUUAUGAAUUCGUUGUAUUGCACUUCCCACUUCUCCAGGUUAGCGAAUCAAUAGGUGUCAUCGUCAUCUUGGUUUGAUUUUGCAUUUGUUUUAUUUAUUUGUUAUGCGUGUUUAAAGUGAGCCCAACUUUGUUCACAGGAAGGUGUAGUUUACGGGGGAGUGCAUCCGUGGAAUCAGUGCAGGGAAGGGUUUGCUUCCCUCUGCCUUAGAGGGAGAGCACCUGCUCUGGAUCUGUGGGGGACACCGGGGCAGAUUCUUUUAGCCAAAUUAGCCACAAUUUGUAUUAUCAUUUUAAAAUACAGUGCUGACAUUUCACACAUUUUUAUUGGUGUGGGAUUUAAGUGGGAGCAUCUGUAUUAAACGGGUAGUAAACCAAUUAAGGAAUGGGCUGGCUGAAUAAUUGCAGGGGUACUAGUCAAUAGAUUUUCCUCCCUCUUGUGGACAAAAAACGCACUCGCAACAGGGUAGCCUGUUGUCCGCGCACCUGCCAUUAAUCACCAUUUAAGCGCAGAAAAACUCAGCUCUCGGUUAUACAUGCACACUAAAAAUCCGAGCUGAACCCGAUUAAGGCAAAACUGCAACGAGGGAAAAUUCUUCUGUAAACCACCUUUAUUAUAUUCAUUAUGGGGAGUCCAAACAUGCUUGUGUUGAAAUCGUUGGAGUGGAAUUGGUGCAGGGAGCUACAGGUGAAGGGCUUGCUUCCCUCUGCUGGAAAAAAA